UACGGAGGGUGCGAACGUUAAUCGGAAUCACUGGGCGUAAAGCGCGCGUAGGCGGUUUGUUAAGUGGGAUGUGAAAUCCCCGGGCUUAACCUGGGAAUUGCAUUUCAAACUGGCCGACUAGAGUACGGUAGAGGGAGGUAGAAUUUCCUGUGUAGCGGUGAAAUGCGUAGAUAUAGGAAGAACACCCGUGGCGAAGGCGGCUCUCUGGGACGGUACUGACGCUGAGACGCGAAAGCGUGGGGAGCGAACAGG
rnacentral:rRNA from 1 species